rnacentral:rRNA from 1 species
AUUGAACGCUGGCGGCAUGCUUUACACAUGCAAGUCGAACGGCAGCGCGGGCUUCGGCCUGGCGGCGAGUGGCGAACGGGUGAGUAAUGCAUCGGAACGUGCCCAGUAGUGGGGGAUAGCCCGGCGAAAGCCGGAUUAAUACCGCAUACGACCUGAGGGUGAAAGCGGGGGACCGAAAGGCCUCGCGCUAUUGGAGCGGCCGAUGUCGGAUUAGCUAGUUGGUGGGGUAAAGGCUUACCAAGGCGACGAUCCGUAGCUGGUCUGAGAGGACGACCAGCCACACUGGGACUGAGACACGGCCCAGACUCCUACGGGAGGCAGCAGUGGGGAAUUUUGGACAAUGGGGGCAACCCUGAUCCAGCCAUGCCGCGUGCGGGAAGAAGGCCUUCGGGUUGUAAACCGCUUUUGUUCGGGAAGAAAUCCUCUGGGCUAAUACCCCGGGGGGGUGACGGUACCGGAAGAAUAAGCACCGGCUAACUACGUG